CUAGGAAACAGCCUGUUGUCAUGACCAUGACCAUGACCAUGACCAUGACCAUGAUGGAGUCUCUAGACUGGGUAAAUUCGGGUGGGAAAUCCCAAUCUAAAUAUGGGCAGCACCAUGGGCUGAAAUCCUGGACACAAUGAAAAAGAGAAACUACACACUGGGACCAGAAGAUCCUGCCAUCUAAGAUCCUGCCACCCUAAGAUCCUGCCAUCUCGCCUUCCUCACCGUCACAGGUUGUCUCCCUCAAACCUGAGCCCAAAGAAACCUUUCUGAAGUUGCUUUUGUAAGAUAACUUUCUCAGAGCAAUGAGAAAAUCAUCCCAUGCCAUCUCGUGAGGGUCAAAGAGAAUCUACUUCGGAAGAUACAGCACAGCAUCAGCAGCUCUGGGCAUCAAUCAGCUCCACUCCAGACAAGAGGAGUAGAGAACUUCACGGCACCCAUGCUCGGCAUCCCCUUUUACCAGGACAACAAAAGUCCAUUCUAAAACAUGAACUAGGAAACAGCCUACAAUUGAUCUCAAGUGAAGCCAAUAAAACCUAGCUUUAGUGUCAAGGUUGGAGUUUCUGAAUCCCCUGCCUCUUUCUCU
rnacentral:lncRNA from 1 species